rnacentral:rRNA from 1 species
CCUACGUGGUGCAGCAGUGGAGGAUAUUGCACAAUGGAGGAAACUCUGAUGCUGCGACGCCGCGUGGGGGAAUGCGGUCUUCGGAUUGUAAACCUCUUUCUUUGUGGAAGCAAAUGACGGUACCCACAGAGGAAGCUCCGGCUACCUACGUGCCAGCAGCCGCGGUAAUACGUAGGGAGCGAGCGUUGUCCGGAAUUACUGGGUGUAAAGGGAGCGUGGGCGUGCGAGAAUGUUGAAUGUUAAAUCUACCGGCUUAACUGGGAGCUGCGUUCAAAACUUCUUGUCUUGAGUGAAGUAGAGGCAGGCGGAAUGCCUAGUGUAGCGGUGAAAUGCGUAGAGAUUAGGAGGAACACCAGUGGCGAAGGCGGCCUGCUGGGCUUUAACUGACGCUGAGGCUCGAAAGCGUGGGGAGCAAACAGGAUUAGAUACCCGUGUAGUC